rnacentral:lncRNA from 1 species
AAUGAAUAACAACAAACAACCACAUUCUAAAAUUUACUAAACUUGGAUAUGCACUUUGUUACUUCAUUUUAUAAACUGUUAUAAGCGUUAUAAUUUCUUUCAUUUAUCUGAUUUAGUUGUCCCAAACUCCCAAUACAUAUUUAAACCGUGUUGUGGGCUUUCAAGAAGACAAAUGACAGAUUCACAAUAAUGGGCUGGCCCAAGUUACUUAACCAGACGAUGUUAAUCCACUUACUCACUUCAUGACCAUCCCCUCCUUCUCCAAUCUCUCACUCACCCUGUAGUUUCCACCGCAUCGCCGCUGCUCCUCUGCAUCGGAGGCACGACUUCAAUUGCAAGAUCCACUCCCGCACUCACAAGAUCUACUUCCUCCGAUGUACGCAUCGCGUCACCAGGUCUCACCAGGUCAGGCUACCUCAACCACUUCCAAGUGAACCUUCACAAACAACACAGUAUUACGUCUAAAGGAUAGCAAGUAAAUCCGGAGUAUUACAGUUUUGAGCUAAUGUUUUUUUCCCUAGAGGCGGCAGUGUAAUUAUUAGCUGUCAUUAAAAUCAAUAUUGUCUCAUGAAAAUGCCUACCCUGUUGACCCGCUAAUGGCAAUUACAAAAAUGUUUGGUUCAUUACGCCUAAUUCAAAUUAGCUUCAAUGCCUCAUGUUUACUUCCAUAGCCUGAACUGAUAAAUCACUGAAAUUUCUUCUCUGCUAAACCUAUGUCUACUUCGUAAUCAACACCCGAGUAAUAACAUGGUAGAUCGUCAUACAUGUUUAUCUCCUGUUUUCUUGAUGUCUGAGUAACAGUAUAUGCAUGUGUCCUACAAGCUCAAUGCCCUACUAUUCUGGUUGAUAGCUGACUGUUGAGUCAUUGGCACUAAGGUUGCUAAUAGAAAGGCGCACUUACAGAGAGUCCAUGAACAAGAUAGCAAGAAGAAAACAUAACAUAAAAUAGAGAUGUAAUUCCCCUUUGUACUAUGAUGUAUAUGCUUGUUUAGGGCAAACCAUAUAUCUUCAGAAAUUUGUACCUUAUCAGCUAUUUGAUUUGGUUACCGCAGUUCGGUCUUUUCCCUCUUGUGAGUUCUGCACCAUCCUUACAUGAUUCAUCAACAACCACCUAGAAACGAUCAGCAGAAAAACAAAAUCAAAGUGAAAUCAAAUGGAAUCGCAUGUAGGUAGUAGCGAAGUACGAUAUAUGCCACUCCAUUGGCACUUUGCCUGUACACCAUGCAACAUCAAGUGAGGCAUGAUCAAUAAAUUGAUCAGAUACCAACAUCAUGUAUUAAGCACAAAUCAUGAAUCAAUACCAGAGGACCAAAUAGUGUUACCACCUCUGUACUAACAACCAAACAUUUUUUUAGAACAGGGAGGCUCUAACAACCAACAUUUUAGCAUGUCAUUUGUUUACCAAGCAAAACCACAAUAGCUAAAUCUCCCAAGAGCAUACUUUCGGAGAAGCACAGUCCAGAUCAUACACCCACAAAUAAAUGGCUUGGUUUUCAACUGGCAUAAUGAUUUCCUCCCUACCGCAAGCCUCUGCCUACAACUUUAAACUGAACCAUCAAGUUAGCAUGGCAUUUUUUAUAGAAGUAUUGCUAUAGCAGUCUAAUUUCCCAAGGGCAGGAGUCUAAUAUACUUUCAGAAUGUGCAGUUCAGAUCAUGCAGUUAGAAAUAAACUUUAUGGUAGUAACUGUACAGGACUUGCUAUUCAAUUAUCUUUUCUAGUACCCAUUUGGAACACGACACAAUGAUUAGCUCCUAUUAUGUAAGGUCACACUAUUUAAAUCGAGAAUUGCUCGCAUUUCAUUAUUUUUUUAGUUAUCCUAGUAGUGUUUACUUGCACAUCAGGAGUAUCACAGUUACAACUAAAGAGGCAUUGUCCUAUCAUAAUUUAAAUAUCAGAAGCUGACAGCAGUAAUGUAAAUACAUAUGGUCGAGACAUAAUUUUGUAGCAAAACAUGUCAGAGAGGCAAUAGAUUACAUGUGAAGGCACCCACACAAGAUUAUUACAAGAGCAGACACAAGGAUCAGAACACCAAGUAACAAUUAGAAUCUGUAUUGCGAGCUCCCUUCCCCCAUUCUAUUUUUGCUUGACAUUCAAACAUAGAACAAAGUAAUUCUUUUUAAUUUCCAAAGCACAUGUGAAUAUGACAAUACAGCUUGUCAAACCAGUACAUUGACUCAUAGCUCUGUGUCUAACAUUCAAAUCUAAAAUUAAGUAACUCUAUUUUGUUCUUAAUGAAAACAAAAAGGACCUCAGAAAGCCCAAGUAGCACCAAAAAAAAUAUAACACGGGAGAUUAAAAAAAACACUGAAGCAUCAGAGUAGGGAGUAAUUAUCAAAUAGAAACAAAAGGAAAAGAAAAGCAAGAAGCUCACUUCCCCCAUCUGUUUUUGUUUUCUUUCACUUAUAUACACCAGACCAAUAGACAAGCACUUUAACUAUAAAAAAACAUAAUUCCUAAUUCAAGAACACAGUUGAAUAUUGGAGCACAACAUACUACUCUUCGUAAAGUAAAACCAGGCAUGUGAAGUCUCAAUUGACGGACGCUGCUUAGGAAGGAUUCAAUUAUGCUAUUGUUAAGUAGGUACAUUACAAAGCCUGUUCAUGCUAACAGUAGUAGAUUCUUGUAAUCACACUUCAUGUUAUAUUUUCUAAAUAAAAUAAAUGAUCUCGCUAUAGCAGAAAACAUACAUGCAUAUAGCUGACUGAAUUACCUCGCAAAGCUUCUGUUCUUGCAUUUCUACAUUGCCCUUGGUGCUGAAAAUAUAUAAAACAUCAGGCUAAUGCUUAACAAGAUUUUGAUAGUUCAGGUGAUAGGAACUAUCUACACAAAUAUAGGAUUAUGCAUAUGGAUAGUUAGCAUGCAGUAGUCAGUUUCACAGGAUGUUGCUGAUGAGCAUCCUAUUGCUGCCCUUGUUCUCAUAUAUCGGAACGUACACAGAUCCACCAAGCAGAACCAUCAGCUUGCUGUCAUUCAUUCCUUGAGAUCCACAGCAACAUAAUUUGGCACACAUAUUGGGAUUACUAACAAGCUGACCUCCAGAUCCUUUCUGGAUGCACCAAUACUCAGAUUUUUUUUCUUAAAAGAAAAGAAUGAAAACUAAGAAUUCUUAGUGGGAACUACUAAUAUGAGAAGUUAUCUGAUACAUAACACAAUUACCACUCGAUAUAGGAUAAAUUGUUCCAUUGGGAGUAUCUUCUAGCUUUUUUACUUUCUUCUGAUCCAAAGUAGGCGCUAGGACAAAGUAAAUCUUUAAACACUUUUGUAGUGGAUUCAAAACAAUAAGAAGUCAUUUAACUGGCAGAACAUAGCAUUAUGAAAAUAUAUAGCAAAGUCAUUUUUGUGUAUGCUAGUUGCAACAUCGACACAACACAUAUUCUAGCAAAUAGACCUAUGUUCAACACAUUCUACCACAAAGUGCCUGUCCAAAGAUCCUACAUUUUGGUACAGAGGUUGUACGUCACAAACCAUCUAUCCUAUCAUCAGUGCAUGCAGUAUGCAGUACACCAUUUUCCAUAGCUGGAAAGAGACCAUACAUCAUAAUCUGGUCACAAUAUGUAGACAGAAGUGGUUAUCUGGACAAAAUAGGGAGGCACACCUUCACAAAACAGUUCUUAGUAAUUAUAGAAUUAACUGAAGUAAAAUCAAGCAUGUAUGUGUGCUCACUGAAAUGUGUAUGCACCAUUGCCGAUUGAAACAAGAUACACACAGCCGAUUGAUAACCGACAGUUGAAUUAUUGGCGCUCGAAUGUAUGUAUGUGUCCUUGCUCGCCUCUUGUAUGUAUAAAGGACCAAAAUGAUAGUUUGUGUAGUGUAGACCGCUCAAUCGUAAGCAUCUUGUGUGCACCUGAUACACAGUAUACAUAUGAUUAGUACAUUUUAUCAGCAAUAGAUGUGCACAUGAGCUGAAAACAACUUCGAAGACUGCAAGAGUAUAUAAAACCUGUAACUGGUAGCCACAAAAAGAAUUGUCUUUUCUACCGAACAGGCCAGUUCGCUAUGACCAGUUCACGCUCCACGAUUCAGA